rnacentral:rRNA from 1 species
CUACGUGCCAGCAGCCGCGGUAAUACGGAAGGUUCGGGCGUUAUCCGGAUUUAUUGGGUUUAAAGGGAGCGUAGGCCGGAGAUUAAGUGUGUUGUGAAAUGUAGACGCUCAACGUCUGACUUGCAGCGCAUACUGGUUUCCUUGAGUACGCACAACGUUGGCGGAAUUCGUCGUGUAGCGGUGAAAUGCUUAGAUAUGACGAAGAACUCCGAUUGCGAAGGCAGCUGACGGGAGCGCAACUGACGCUUAAGCUCGAAGGUGCGGGUAUCAAACAGGAUUAGAUACCCUGGUAGUCCGCACAGUAAACGAUGGAUGCCCGUUGUUAGUUCACUUAUGAAUUAGCGACCAAGCGAAAGCAUUAAGCAUCCCACCUGGGGAGUACGCCGGCAACGGUGAAACUCAAAGGAAUUGACGGGGGCCCGCACAAGCGGUGGAGCAUGUGGUUUAAUUCGAAGCAACGCGAAGAACCUUACCAGGUCUUGACAUCCCUCUGACCGCUCUAGAGAUAGAGUUUUC